AGCACUGCCGCGUGUGUGAUGAAGGGUUUCGGCUCGUAAAACACUGUUGUCAGAGAAGAAUGACAUUGAGAGUAACUGUUCAAUGUGUGACGGUAUCUUACCAGAAAGGAACGGCUAAAUACGUGCCAGCAGCCGCGGUAAU
rnacentral:rRNA from 1 species